UACGGAGGGUGCAAGCGUUAUCCGGAUUCACUGGGUUUAAAGGGUGCGUAGGCGGAUAGGGAAGUCCGUGGUGAAAUCCUGCAGCUUAACUGCAGAACUGCCGUGGAUACUCUCUAUCUUGAAUAUCGUGGAGGUUAGCGGAAUAUGUCAUGUAGCGGUGAAAUGCUUAGAUAUGACAUAGAACACCCAUUGCGAAGGCAGCUAAACUCGCGAUCAUUGACGCUGAUGCACGAAAGCGUGGGGAUCGAAACAGGA
rnacentral:rRNA from 1 species